CACGUAGGACGCAAGCGUUAUCCGGAAUUACUGGGCGUAAAGCGCGUGUAGGCGGGUCGUUAAGUUGGGGGUGAAAUCCCGAGGCUCAACCUCGGAACUGCCUUCAAAACUGGCGACCUGGACUCAAGCAGAGGCAAGUGGAAUUGCGAGUGUAGAGGUGAAAUUCGUAGAUAUUCGCAGGAACACCAGUGGCGAAGGCGACUUGCUGGGCUUGUAGUGACGCUGAGACGCGAAAGCGUGGGGAGCAAAC
rnacentral:rRNA from 1 species